rnacentral:rRNA from 1 species
AGCGAACGCUGGCGGCAGGCUUAACACAUGCAAGUCGAGCGGGCAUCCUCGUGGUGUCAGCGGCAGACGGGUGAGUAACGCGUGGGAACGUGCCCUUCGGCUCGGAAUAACUCAGGGAAACUUGAGCUAAUACCGGAUACGUUCGAGAGCAGAAAGGUUUAUCUGCCGAAGGAUCGGCCCGCGUCUGAUUAGCUAGUUGGUGAGGUUAUGGCUCACCAAGGCGACGAUCGGUAGCUGGUCUGCGAGGAUGAUCAGCCACACUGGGACUGAGACACGGCCCAGACUCCUACGGGAGGCAGCAGUGGGGAAUAUUGGACGAGGGGGGCAACCCUGAUCCAGCCAUGCCGCGUGAGUGAUGCCGGCGGUAGGGUUGUAAAGCUCUUUUCUCCGGGACGAUAAUGACGGUACCGGGGGAAGAAGCCCCGGCUAACUUCGUG